UACGAAGGGGGCUAGCGUUGUUCGGAAUUACUGGGCGUAAAGCGCACGUAGGCGGACUAUUAAGUCAGGGGUGAAAUCCCGGGCUCAACCCCGGAACUGCCUUCGAUACUGGCGAUCUCGAGUUCGGGAGAGGUGAGUGGAACUGCGAGUGUAGAGGUGAAAUUCGUAGGUAUUCGCAAGAACACCAGUGGCGAAGGCGGCUCACUGGCCCGGUACUGACGCUGAGGUGCGAAAGCGUGGGGAGCAAACAGGG
rnacentral:rRNA from 1 species